rnacentral:rRNA from 1 species
GAGUUUGAUCGUGGCUCAGGACGAACGCUGGCGGCGUGCCUAAUACAUGCAAGUCGAGCGAGUCUCUUCGGAGGCUAGCGGCGGACGGGUGAGUAACACGUAGGCAACCUGCCUCUCAGACCGGGAUAACAUAGGGGAAACUUAUGCUAAUACCGGAUAGGUUUUUGGAUUGCAUGACCCGAAAAGAAAAGAUGGCUUUUCGCUAUCACUGGGAGAUGGGCCUGCGGCGCAUUAGCUAGUUGGUGGGUAACGGCCUACCAAGGCGACGAUGCGUAGCCGACCUGAGAGGGUGACCGGCCACACUGGGACUGAGACACGGCCCAGGACUCCUACGGGAGGCAGCAGUAGGGAAUUUUCCACAAUGGACGAAAGUCUGAUGGAGCAACGCCGCGUGAACGAUGAAGGUCUUCGGAUUGUAAAGUUCUGUUGUCAGGGACGAACACGUACCGUUCGAAUAGGGCGGUACCUUGACGGUACCUGACGAG